GAUGAACGCUGGCGGCGUGCCUAAUACAUGCAAGUCGAGCGAACAGACGAGGAGCUUGCUCCUCUGACGUUAGCGGCGGACGGGUGAGUAACACGUGGAUAACCUACCUAUAAGACUGGGAUAACUUCGGGAAACCGGAGCUAAUACCGGAUAAUAUAUUGAACCGCAUGGUUCAAUAGUGAAAGACGGUUUUGCUGUCACUUAUAGAUGGAUCCGCGCCGCAUUAGCUAGUUGGUAAGGUAACGGCUUACCAAGGCAACGAUGCGUAGCCGACCUGAGAGGGUGAUCGGCCACACUGGAACUGAGACACGGUCCAGACUCCUACGGGAGGCAGCAGUAGGGAAUCUUCCGCAAUGGGCGAAAGCCUGACGGAGCAACGCCGCGUGAGUGAUGAAGGUCUGCGGAUCGUAAAACUCUGUUAUUAGGGAAGAACAAAUGUGUAAGUAACUAUGCACGUCUUGACGGUACCUAAUCAGAAAGCCACGGCUAACUAC
rnacentral:rRNA from 1 species